ensembl:lncRNA
GAGGAAGAGGAGCAGGCCAACAAGGGAGAGGAGAAGGUCCAGGAGGGAGAGCAAGACAACCUCGCACCCUCAUUACGGACGAGAUGCGAGCAACAGUCAUUGACCAUGUCAUUGUCCAUGGCAUGACAAUGGCUGAAGCAGGACUACGAGUCCGUCCAAACCUGAGUAGGUUCACCGUGGCCACCAUUAUCAGGGCAUUCAGACAACACAACAGAGUUGAAAGAACGCCACAUAGAGGUGGGAGGGUUGCCAUAUUUACAGCGGCACAAGAAACCCUCAUUGUGGAUAUGGUUCGUGAGAACAACCUCAUCAGACUCCGGGAGAUCCGAGACAAAGUCAUUGCCGAUAAUGUCAACUUUGAGAGCAUUGAUGAUGUCAGCUUGGCCACAAUAGACUGAGUUCUCAGGCGCCAAAAGAUGCGGAUGAAACAGGUCUAUAGGGUUCCCUUUGAGCGCAACUCUGCGUGACACAAAGACCUACGUUACGAGUAUGUGCAAAGGAUAUUACAGUUGGACGUGAUGGCCAGACCUCAUGAGUACCUCUUCCUGGAUGAGGCUGGCUUCAACCUGCAGAAACGAAAGCAAAGAGGCCGUAACGUCAUUGGCCAAAGAGCCAUCACUGAGGUUCCUGGCCAACGGGGGGGUAAUAUUACUCUUUGUGCGGCCAUGGGUUUGGAGGGGCUUGUCCACCGGCAUGCUGUCCUUGGGUCUUACAACACCCAAUGUCUCCUCACCUUCCUAGAGGAGCUAAAAGACAUCCUUCUGGACCGCCAACAACACCAUCCUGGGCCCGCACAUCACAUUUAUGUGAUCACUUGGGACAAUGUACGCUUCCACAAAACAAACCAAAUCAGAGAGUGGUUCACCACCAACAGUAACCACUUUUUAAAUGUCUGUCUGCCACCCUACUCCCCUUUGCUGAACCCUAUAGAGGAGUUCUUCUCAUUGUGGAGAUGGAAGGUUUAUGACAGACAACCAUACACUAGAGAGAACCUCCUAAGGG